rnacentral:rRNA from 1 species
UACGGAGGUUGCAAGCGUUAUCCGGAUUUAUUGGGUUUAAAGGGUGCGUAGGCGGGAAAAUAAGUCAGUGGUGAAAGCCUACAGCUUAACUGUAGAACUGCCAUUGAUACUGUUUUUCUUGAGUAUAGUUGAGGUGGGCGGAAUGUGUAAUGUAGCGGUGAAAUGCUUAGAUAUUACACAGAACACCGAUUGCGUAGGCAGCUCGCUAAACUAAAACUGACGCUGAGGCACGAAAGCGUGGGGAGCAAACAGG